GGAUUAGAAACCCCGGUAGUCCAUGCCGUAAACGUUGGGCGCUAGGUGUGGGGGUCCUUCCACGACCUCCGUGCCGCAGCUAACGCAUUAGGCGCCCCGCCUGGGGAGUACGGCCGCAAGGCUAAAACUCAAAGGAAUUGACGGGGGCCCGCACAAGCGGCGGAGCAUGCGGAUUAAUUCGAUGCAACGCGAAGAACCUUACCAAGGCUUGACAUGUAGAGGAAAGUUCCAGAGAUGGUUCCCCCGCAAGGUCUCUACACAGGUGGUGCAUGGUUGUCGUCAGCUCGUGUCGUGAGAUGUUGGGUUAAGUCCCGCAACGAGCGCAACCCUCGUCCUAUGUUGCCAGCACGUAAUGGGGGGGACUCAUUGGAGACUGCCGGGGUCAACUCGGAGG
rnacentral:rRNA from 1 species